rnacentral:rRNA from 1 species
CCUACGGCGAGCAGCAGUGAGGAAUAUUGGUCAAUGGGCGGGAGGCUGAACCAGCCAAGUCGCGUGAGGGAAGACGGCCCUACGGUUUGUAAACCUCUUUUGUCAGGGAGCAAGGUGCAGGUCGGGACCUGCUGUGAGAGUACCUGAAGAAAAAGCAUCGGCUAACUCCGUACCAGCAGCCUCGGUAAUACGGAGGAUGCGAGCGUUAUCCGGAUUUAUUGGGUUUAAAGGGUGCGUAGGCGGACGCACAAGUCACCGGUAAAAUCGUGGGGUUCAACACGAAUUGGCCGUUGACACUGGGGGCCUUGAGUGCGUGAAGGGUAGGCGGAAUGCGUGGUGUAGCGGUGAAAUGCAUAGAUAUAACGCAGAACUCCGAUCGCGAAGGCAGCCUACCAGGGCGCAAAUGACGCUCAUGCACGAAAGCGUGGGUAUCGAACAGGAUUAGAUACCCGUGUAGUC